rnacentral:rRNA from 1 species
AGCAGCCGCGGUAAUUCCAGCUCCAAUAGCGUAUAUUAAAGUUGUUGCAGUUAAAAAGCUCGUAGUUGAAUUUCGGGAUUGGCGUGUCGGUCGUGCCUUAAGGGGUAUGAACUGGCGUCGUCGAUUUCUCACCUUCUGGAGAAUCACGAUGCCCUUAAUUGGGUGUCGUGUGGAACCAGGACCUUUACCUUGAAAAAAUUAGAGUGUUUAAAGCAGGCAUUUUUGCUCGAAUACAUUAGCAUGGAAUAAUAAAAUAGGACGGUUUGGUUCUAUUUUGUUGGUUUCUAGGAUCACCGUAAUGAUUAAUAGGGAUAGUUGGGGGCAUUAGUAUUCAAUUGUCAGAGGUGAAAUUCUUGGAUUUAUUGAAGACUAACUACUGCGAAAAGCAUUUGCCAAGGAUGUUUUCUAUUAAUCAAGAACGAAAGUUAGGGGAUCGAAGACGAAUCAGAUACCGUCGUAGUCUUAACCAUAAACUAUGCCGACUACGGAAUCAGACGAUGUUAAUUUUUUAAUGUACUCG